AUUGAACGCUGGCGGCAGGCCUAACACAUGCAAGUCGAGCGGAUGAAGGGAGCUUGCUCCUGGAUUCAGCGGCGGACGGGUGAGUAAUGCCUAGGAAUCUGCCUGGUAGUGGGGGAUAACGUCCGGAAACGGGCGCUAAUACCGCAUACGUCCUGAGGGAGAAAGUGGGGGAUCUUCGGACCUCACGCUAUCAGAUGAGCCUAGGUCGGAUUAGCUAGUUGGUGGGGUAAAGGCCUACCAAGGCGACGAUCCGUAACUGGUCUGAGAGGAUGAUCAGUCACACUGGAACUGAGACACGGUUCAGACUCCUACGGGAGGCAGCAGUGGGGAAUAUUGGACAAUGGGCGAAAGCCUGAUCCAGCCAUGCCGCGUGUGUGAAGAAGGUCUUCGGAUUGCAAAGCACUUUAAGUUGGGAGGAAGGGCAGUAAGUUAAUACCUUGCUGUUUUGACGUUACCAACAGAAUAAGCACCGGCUAACUUCGUG
rnacentral:rRNA from 1 species